GAGGCUGUAGCUCAGUUGGGAGAGCGCCUGGAUCGCACCCAGGAGGUCGCGGGUUCGAGUCCCGCCAGCCCCA
rnacentral:tRNA from 1 species